CAAAUACUCCCUCCGUCCGGAAAUACUUGUCAUCAAAAUGGAUAAAAGGAAAUGUAUCUAGACGUAUUUUAGUUUUAGAUACAUCUCUUUUUAUCGAUUUUGAUGACAAGUAUUUUUGGACGGAGGGAGUAGAAA
rfam:Triticum aestivum genome assembly, contig: Triticum_aestivum_CS42_TGACv1_scaffold_365833_4DS